AGCAGCCGCGGUAAUUCCAGCUCCAAUAGCGUAUAUUAAAGUUGUUGCAGUUAAAAAGCUCGUAGUUGAAUUUCGGGGUCAGUAGGUCGGUCGUGCCACUGGUAUGAACUGGUUUUACUGAUUCCUCCCUCUUGAAGAACUGUAAUGCCAUUAAUUUGGUGUUGCAGGGAAUCAGGACUGUUACUUUGAAAAAAUUAGAGUGUUUAAAGCAGGCUUUAGCUUGAAUACAUUAGCAUGGAAUAAUGAAAUAGGACGUUUGAUCCUAUUUUGUUGGUUUCUAGGAUUGACGUAAUGAUUAAUAGGGAUAGUUGGGGGCAUUAGUAUUCAAUUGUCAGAGGUGAAAUUCUUGGAUUUAUUGAAGACUAACUACUGCGAAAACAUUUGCCAAGGAUGUUUUCAUUAAUCAAGAACGAAAGUUAGGGAUCGAAAGACGAUCAGAUACCGUCGUAGUCUUAACCAUAAACUAUGCCGACUAGGAAUCAAGACGAUGUUAAAUUUUUUAAUGUAACUUCGUUUUAGGCAACCGUUUAACGGGGAAAACCAAAGGUUAGUUUUGGGGUUACG
rnacentral:rRNA from 1 species